GUGUUACAUCCAUCGAGCAGGAUCGGCACUACCAGAGAUUUGUACAGCUUGUACUUGGUAGUGAACCUUAUCCUAUGGCUAUGCCAGAUCCUAUCUAGCCAUUGUUACUGUAGCGAUCCUGAUGCGGACAUCUCGUCCUUGAAGCUGAUUACCUCUUCGAGCUAUACCCGUUCAUGUGGAUCUCUGCUUUGCCGUGCCAUUGAUCAUAACUUUGCUCUUUUUAGUGCUGGCCUUCAGUCCAUGUCCAUCUGAACUGUCUGUCAGUGUCACAAAUCUAGUUUCUUUUUAGUUGGGAGAGGGAUGGAAAACUUAGAGGAGAUGGAAGGUGCGGAAGGCGAUCGAGCGAGCGAUCGGUGUCACUGUGUGUGUCUGCGUGCUGAGUCAUGAGAUGGCCGCGUUUGUAAUUAAUAUUAACAGCUCGAAAUGUGAAGGGUAGGGAGAAAUGCAAAAGAGUGAUUAGUCUCUUCGGUUUUACUUUUUAUUUCUUCGUCUUGUUAUCUGCUUCGUGUUCGUCGGCUGUCGGACUGGAUUGUACCGAGCUUCGGAAGGGACGCGGCAGGAGUGGAGAUUGUCUUGUUAUUUUCAAGCGGAGGCUUCGUGGGGAUCUGCGCCGCCGGACAUGACUGAACAUAAGCCUUUUACCGGCGAGGAAACUGUGCGUUCGGACUAGGUGUUAUUUGAGAGAAUUAGAUUUUCUUGUUUUUUCCUCAGUAUAAAUGUCUAUGUUAAUUGCUUGUGGUCGAAAAGUUUUUUAAAAUUAUUUAUCUUUAAAUUCCACUGUUGUGUUUUUAUAAUUUUCUCAUGUGAACGUCACAGUAGAGUGCAAGUGACAGUCUGUUGGUGAGGACUUGAAGUUCUUUGUUAGUGCCUGUUAACAGACCUAAGUCAUCUGCAAAGUGUAAGUAGCACAUCGGUCUUCCACCAAUGGAAAUGGAAGUAUGAUGGUCGUGGAGAGCUUUGGUGAUGUUCUCCAAGAAGAUAUUAAACAGCCUGGUGACAGGUACAUCCUUGACGUGUAUGCCUACUGUGGUUCGAAAGUAAGCUCCGAUUAUUCAGCAUUACUGUACUUGUUGAGCUAUUGUAUAGUGCUUUGAUGACUCUAUGUUGAAUUUUCGCAUUAUAUGCCAUAGCAUAUUGUGAUUGUGCAGUUAAAGUACAUUAACAAUGAUCAUGAAUAUUUAGUACAUACUCCUUCCUGAUGGAGUUCAUGGCAUUUACAAAGUGUCUACACACGCAGGAAUGAACGAACCUGCAGAAAUAAAACUUGUACACCCAAAUAAAUUUUUACAAGCUGAACUUCAUUUGCUCAUUCAUUUUUGGAAACCCGUGUAUGGAUAAUGUUGAAUUGUACACUGAACUACACAAUAGUGUCAUUGUAACAGCCAGCAUGAUCAAAGAA